rnacentral:rRNA from 1 species
UACGUAGGGUGCAAGCGUUGUCCGGAAUUAUUGGGCGUAAAGAGCUCGUAGGCGGUCUGUCGCGUCGGCUGUGAAAACCCGGAGCUCAACUCCGGGCCUGCAGUCGAUACGGGCAAACUGGAGUGUUGCAGGGGAGACUGGAAUUCCUGGUGUAGCGGUGAAAUGCGCAGAUAUCAGGAGGAACACCGGUGGCGAAGGCAGGUCUCUGGGCAACAACUGACGCUGAGGAGCGAAAGCGUGGGGAGCGAACAGG